UACGUAGGGUGCAAGCGUUGUCCGGAAUUAUUGGGCGUAAAGAGCUCGUAGGCGGUCUGUCACGUCGGCUGUGAAAUCCCGAGGCUCAACCUCGGGUCUGCAGUCGAUACGGGCAAACUAGAGUAUUGCAGGGGAGACUGGAAUUCCUGGUGUAGCGGUGAAAUGCGCAGAUAUCAGGAAGAACACCGAUGGCGAAGGCAGUUCUCUGGGCCGUAACUGACGCUGAGGAGCGAAAGCGUGGGGAGCGAACAGG
rnacentral:rRNA from 1 species